UGUCCUUUUUUUCCCUGCCUUCUCCAUUUGCUCUUUACACCCUAACUACUUGUCUGCUUCACUGUGAAGCCAUCUGCUGCCACUCAAAGGGUAACAGGGUAACAAAACCUUUCUUGUCUCCCCCAGAGCCUAAUGCUUAUAUUUGAGAGUAGAGAUCUUUUCCUGCACCUGCCAAAAAGGCAUGCUCUUGUGCUCUCUCUCUCUUUCUGGAGAAGAGGAGGAAUGAACGUGACAGCUCCUAUAUAAUAUCCCGUUUUCAUAAUUUCAGGGGUCCUCUACUGUAACACAGAUCUCCUGGAUGUGCAAGUGACAUUCUCCAUCUUCUUUUCACCUGGUGUGUGAAUAAUGGGGUGUGAAGAAAGAAAGCAAAAUAUUCUCAUGUCUGUCCUUAACAUCAUAGGAACCUGAUCUUUCUACUGGAAGCCUGGUAAGAAAAAUCCACAUCGUGACACGGAAGAGAUGGAGGAAGAAGAGAAAACAAAAGGUCAGAGAUGUAGCCCUACAUAGCUGAUUUUAAAAGGAACUUAAAAUUUUACUUUGGCUAAAAUUGACCUCUCCUGUAAUUUAAUCCAAACCUCUAUUGCUUGUGUGUGGCCAAGUUCAGUAGUCUUUGGAGUCUCACUUCUCUAAUUAUCCAAAUGCAUUUGUUGAAGCCCCAUCCCCUGCCUCCUCCAAAUCCCUUAAUAGGUUUGAUUCUGCUCACUGCUCAUUGCUAUUUUCAUGGUGCCGCUGAAUUCCGCUCUCCUUCUCUGUUUCUAGCCUUUUCAACAUUGCUUUCUCCUCUCAUCCCUGGCAUGAAACACAGAUGCUGGUUAUUCAAUCUCUAAAGCACUGUUCUUUUAAGAAUAAACUUUUACUGAAGAAUGGGGGAUAAAAGAUGGAGCGUAAGCUCAGAACAGCACAGGGAGAAAAUGUACAAGUAAAACUAAGUUAUUUAGUUUAGAGCUUCUUGGUCAGACCCUCCUUAGUCCUGCUUGCCAAUUUGUGCUAGAUUAUUUUUUUCCUGGUGACUGUUUCCCGCACCUCUCCUCCCCAUUCAGGGACCCCAAAGCAUGUUCUUCAGUGACCAGGAAAAUAUUUUAUAUUCUUAAUACUUCAUUAUGGAGAAAAAUUUAUUUCAUUUUGUAUAACCACUGUGUGUUAGUUUCCCAUGGCUUCCUUAACAACUUACUACAAACUGGGUGGCUUAAAGCAACAGAAAUUUAUUUUUCUCAGUUUUGGAGGCCAGAAAUCUGAAAUCAAGGUGUCAGGAAGACCAUGCUCUUUUCAGAGGCUCUAGAGAAGAUUCAUUUUUCUGCCUCCCUCCAGCUUCUUGUGGCUCCAGGCGUUCUUUGAUUCUCCUUGGCUUGUGGCUGCAUCACUGAUUUCCGCUUCCGUGUUCAUGUGGCUCUUCUUCCGCGUGUCUUCUCCUUUCUCUUACAAGGACACUUCGUUGCAUUCAGGGCCCACUCAGGUAAUUCAGGAUGAUCUCAUGCCAAGACCCCUAAUCUAAUUACAUCUACAAAGAUCCCUUAUCCAAGUAAGGUCACCUUCACGGGUUCUGGGAAUUAGGAUUUAGGCAUAUCUUUUGGGGAGCCAUCAUUCAAUGCACGACAUAAUCUAAACAGACUCCAGUUUUCUCAGCUUUAACAGAGACAAUCAAUCAAAUAAGUUUUUGAUUUAAUUUAAAAAUAAAAACAGUAUUUCUGUCUCUCAGAAUAAUUCUGCAGCCCAGUUCUUAGAGCAAAUUACAGUUAGAUUUAAAAGAAUGCUUUUCUUCUCAUUUUAAAGAUUUCUCUUUAAAAAUUGUUAAAAUGACCUAACAUUUUAAAAGACGGAAAAGUAAUUGUAAUAUCAAAAACUUAACACAACUACAUAUUUAUACAAAUGCCUUUAUAAUCUUUGUGUAUAUGUGUGUAUAUAUACAUGUGAAUGUAUAAAUACAUACUUGUAAUCAUGAUGUACUUAACAACUGCAGAUUGUGUUUAAUCUUAGCAUAUUAAAUAAGUUUUUUCAAUGUUUUAACGUAUGUUUUAAUUUACCACUUUUUAAUUUUUUAAUCUUAAUGAUUUAAGAAAGUAUUAGUCAUUGUAGAAAAUACAAAUAAACUAAAAGAAAAAUGAAUCACCUGAAAUUCUUUUAAAAAAGAAAGCCAAUCUGGAGACACAUACAUCUGUUUUGUUUUGUUUUGUUUUGUUUUUUGAGACGGAGUCUCGCUCUGUGGCCAGCCGGGAGUGCAGUGGAGCGAUCUCAGCUAACUGCAGGCUCCCUCUCCUGGGUUCAAGUGAUUCUCUUGCUUCAGCCUCUUGAGUAGCUGGUAUUACAGGCAUGCGGCCCCACACCCAGAUAAUUUUUGUAUUUUUAGUAGAGACGGGGUUUCACCAUGUUGGCCAGGAUGGUCUCAAUCUCCUGACCUUGUGAUCCACCUGCCUCGGCCUCCCAAAGUACUGGGAUUACAGGCGUGAGCCACUGCACCCAGCCUCUGUAUUUUUUAAUUUAAUUAUAUCUUCAUGUUUGUAUGAAUCUAUAUCUGUAGCUGUAUCUACAUUUAUUUAGUUUUGGCUAUAACCCCAUUUCAGGAACUAGUUGACUAAAAAAUAAACUUCUAUUGUUUUUGAAUUAUUA